rnacentral:rRNA from 1 species
UACGAGGGGGGCAAGCGUUGUUCGGAAUUAUUGGGCGUAAAGGGUGCGUAGGCGGUUUGGUAAGUCUGAUGUGAAAUCUAUGGGCUCAACUCAUAGUCUGCAUCGGAAACUGCCGGGCUUGAGUGUGGGAGAGGUGAGUGGAAUUCCUGGUGUAGCGGUGGAAUGCGUAGAGAUCCGGAAGAACACCGGUGGCGAAGGCGGCCUGCUGGGCUAUGGCUGACACUGAGGCGCGACAGCGUGGGGGAGCAAACAGG